AUCCGGCUGACGAGUCCCAAAUUGGAUGAAAUGAGCAUCUUGAAU
rnacentral:hammerhead_ribozyme from 1 species